UACGAAGGGGGCUAGCGUUGUUCGGAAUUACUGGGCGUAAAGCGCGUGUAGGCGGGCUUUUAAGUCAGGGGUGAAAUGCCGGAGCUCAACUUCGGAACUGCCUUUGAUACUGGAAGUCUUGAGUCCGGGAGAUGUGAGUGGAACUGCGAGUGUAGAGGUGAAAUUCGUAGAUAUUCGCAAGAACACCAGUGGCGAAGGCGGCUCACUGGCCCGGAACUGACGCUGAGACGCGAAAGCGUGGGGAGCAAACAGG
rnacentral:rRNA from 1 species